ACACGAUUUUCUCAUGAAUGCCUAAAAAUGCCCACAUUUAAAUAUUCAUCAUUGUGAGCAUUUGCUAAAAUACAGUCCUUUCCAGCAGUUUACAUCAUAUGACUGUGCAAGCUUGGGGUGGGGAGGGCAGAGUAAAAAAUUUCCUGUUCCAUUUCAUUUGAAUUUUUAACCACAGUUUUCUAUUUCAUAGUUUGGGUGGCUCUGUAAAGGCAUUUUCUGCUAUAAAUGGCUGUGGGGCUGUCCCCCCAAUGAAUAAGUUGGUUUCAUGCAAGUUCUUGAAGAAUUCAUCAACAACUCACUACGAAGGGCAGAAGUCAAGCCACACGUCACAGCAGCAGCAUCAAUAUCAUGAUGCAGUUGGGACCGGGGAAGCUUAGAACUGGGCAGAGAAUGCCUGCCUUCAAGCUUCCCAGCAUUGUGCUGAGCAAACUGAGUUGUCCCUUCCAAAGAAAUACACUGAAUCCAUUUCCACAUGGGAAUGAAGCAAAGAUAACAACCACUUUACCAUUAAAUGCCCUCUGCCAAGGCCAUCUUGGUAUAGCGGGCAGUCAUAUCUUGAACGGAUCACCCUUCUUAUCUGAGGCUGUCCUGCUUGCUGGAUCCCUGCACGCCUUGAUGGACCGACAAGC